rnacentral:rRNA from 1 species
UAGGUGAUCCCCCGGAGGGAUCAUUACCGAGUUUACAACUCCCAAACCCCUGUGAACAUACCAAUUGUUGCCUCGGCGGAUCAGCCCGCUCCCGGUAAAACGGGACGGCCCGCCAGAGGACCCCUAAACUCUGUUUCUAUAUGUAACUUCUGAGUAAAACCAUAAAUAAAUCAAAACUUUCAACAACGGAUCUCUUGGUUCUGGCAUCGAUGAAGAACGCAGCAAAAUGCGAUAAGUAAUGUGAAUUGCAGAAUUCAGUGAAUCAUCGAAUCUUUGAACGCACAUUGCGCCCGCCAGUAUUCUGGCGGGCAUGCCUGUUCGAGCGUCAUUUCAACCCUCAAGCCCCCGGGUUUGGUGUUGGGGAUCGGCGAGCCCUUGCGGCAAGCCGGCCCCGAAAUCUAGUGGCGGUCUCGCUGCAGCUUCCAUUGCGUAGUAGUAAAACCCUCGCAACUGGUACGCGGCGCGGCCAAGCCGUUAAACCCCCAACUUCUGAAUGUUGACCUCGGAUCAGGUAGGAAUACCCGCUGAACUUAAGCAUAUAAAAAGCCGGAGGAA